GUUCAGGGCUGGCCUGGCCACGUGAGACCUCUCACAAACAAGCAAACACCAGCAAACACUCAGUCAAAGUCAUCUUUCUGCUUUGAUGCUAACGGGCCCACUGUUUGUUAUUGGAGGGAACAUUUCUCCUGAAUGAGAAGAACAGCAAGGAGGCUGGAAAACGCCAUCAUGACUUGCUCGCUUGGAGAAGAGGACCCGCUACUGUUAAAGUGACCUAGGGACAGGCAGGGAAUGUCAAACCUCGAGGGACAUUGAGUGAACAGUGGACCAUCUGCUAUGGGCCCCAGCCCAGAUGAUACAGUUGGAGCCUACCCACAGCAUCCUCUCCCGCCUUCAGACGGUUCCAGGAACGAGAUGUAGCAUCUACGCCGAAUUUGGAGUUCCUGGUCCAGAGAUGGCGCAGGAGGCUGCUGGCAGUAACACAGAGCCCGGGGACAUGCAGGUGACUCGACGUGUCUCCACUUUGAGCACCAGAACUGGGAGAAACUGCCUCUUCUCACGUGAGCCUAGACGCCCUUGGGAGUCAGUCAUCUUGGACUACUGACCUCUGCCUUGGGUGCCCCUGGCUGCUGGGUGGGGUGAGUGCUGGGAGGUGACCCAGGCAGAACUUCAUUGCACUGUUCAAAUCCCCCUGUACUGGCGCCCCGCCUCGACUUGUUCCACUUUCCAAAAUAGCUAAUGAGGAAAUUAAUUUUGUCACCCAGAUGAAUGUAGUAAAAGCAUGUCAGGGAAAGACAAUUAACC